GGAUUAAGCCAUGCAAGCCAGCGAAGGUAACGGAGCGGCGAACGGCUCAGUAAGACAGGCGGAUCUGACCACCGGCAAGGAUAACCACGGGAAACUGAGGCUAAGACUAUGGUGGGUGAACGCCUGGCCUAUCAGCUAGUCGGUACGGUAAGUGCGUACGGAGGCGAUGACGGGUAACGGGGAAUCGGGGUUUGAUUCCUGGAGAGGGAGCCUGAGAGAUGGCUGCCACGUCCAAGGACGGCAGCAGGCGCGAAACUUACCCACUUGGAGGACCAGAGGUAGUGACGAGGCGUGACGAUGGGUCUACGGUAAAUAAGUAGGCGAAAGGACUGGAGGGCAAGUCUGGUGCCAGCAGCCGCGGUAAUUCCAGCUCCAGGAGCGUCUGUGUGUAUUGCUGCGGUUAAAACGUGCGUAGUCUGGCUGACGACCUGCAAGAAACGUGGGGUAUCCAGCCACACGACAGCAGGUAGGGAAGCUUGAGACCGGGAAGGGGCGAUGUUAUUUGGCAGCGAGGGGUGAAAACCGAUGACCUGCUGAGGAGCGACAGAAGCGAAAACGGUUGUCCGGAACGGUCUGACGAUCAAGCGCGUGAGCAGGAGUAUCGAAGGCGAUUAGAGACCGUCGUAGUUCCUGCAGUAAACGAUGCCGACGGGGUUGCAGGAGCUGUGGCCCGAGGGAAACCGAGUGUAUGGGCUCCGGGGAUAGUAUAGGCGCAAGCCGGAAACUUGAAGAAAUUGACGGAAGGACACCACAAGGAGUGGAGUGUGCGGGUUAAUUUGACGUGGGGUGACCUGUCUGGUUAAAUCCGAUAACGCUUGAGACCCUGGAGAUUGACGGUGCCCGACGAGGGCAAGGAAGCGCGGGUUGAUAACAGGUCUGUGAUGCCCGUAGAUGUUCCGGGCUCCACGCGCACUACAGUGGGAGAGGCUCAUCGAAACAUGGCUCUCUCGUGGUUGGGAUUGUUGCUUGUAAUAGCGACAUGAACGUGGAAUUCCUAGUAGCGUGCUGUCACCAACGGCAGGCGAAUCGUCCCUGUUCUUUGUACACACCGCCCGUCGUUAUCUAAGAUGGAAGUGCGGAUGAAGCAACUCGGUUCAAGAAUCCGUGCCGCUAGAUUGGAUACAAGUCGUAACAAGGUUCAGUAGGAGAACCAUUAGCAGGAUCAUAA
rnacentral:rRNA from 1 species